UACGUAGGGUGCGAGCGUUGUCCGGAAUUACUGGGCGUAAAGAGCUCGUAGGCGGUUUGUCGCGUCUGCCGUGAAAGUCCGGGCUCAACUCCGGAUCUGCGGUGGGUACGGGCAGACUAGAGUGAUGUAGGGGAGACUGGAAUUCCUGGUGUAGCGGUGAAAUGCGCAGAUAUCAGGAGGAACACCGAUGGCGAAGGCAGGUCUCUGGGCAUUAACUGACGCUGAGGAGCGAAAGCAUGGGGAGCGAACAGG
rnacentral:rRNA from 1 species